rnacentral:rRNA from 1 species
UACGUAGGUGGCAAGCGUUAUCCGGAUUUACUGGGCGUAAAGCGCGCGCAGGCGGUUCGGUCAGUCUGUCGUGAAAUCUCCCGGCUUAACCGGGAGGAGUCGCUGGAUACUGCCGGACUUGAGGGGCGUAGAGGCAAGCGGAAUUCCCGGUGUAGUGGUGAAAUGCGUAGAUAUCGGGAGGAACACCCGUGGCGAAAGCGGCUUGCUGGGCGCCACCUGACGCUGAGGCGCGAAGGCGUGGGGAGCGAACCGG